CCAGCCAAGUAGCGUGAAGGAUGACUGCCCUAUGGGUUGUAAACUUCUUUUAUAUGGGAAUAAAGUGAGCCACGUGUGGCUUUUUGUAUGUACCGUACGAAUAAGGAUCGGCUAACUCCGUGCCAGCAGCCGCGGUAAUACGGAGGAUCCAAGCGUUAUCCGGAUUUAUUGGGUUUAAAGGGUGCGUAGGCGGUUUUAUAAGUUAGAGGUUAAAUAUCGGAGCUUAACUCCGUUAUGCCUCUAAUACUGUAGGACUAGAGAAUAGUUGCGGUAGGCGGAAUGUAUGGUGUAGCGGUGAAAUGCUUAGAGAUCAUACAGAACACCGAUUGCGAAGGCAGCUUACCAAACUAUGACUGACGUUGAGGCACGAAAGCGUGGGGAGCAAACAGGAUUAGAUACCCUGGUAGUCCACGCAGUAAACGAUGAUAACUCGUUGUCGGCGAUACACAGUCGGUGACUAAGCGAAAGCGAUAAGUUAUCCACCUGGGGAGUACGUUCGCAAGAAUGAAACUCAAAGGAAUUGACGGGGGCCCGCACAAGCGGAGGAACAUGUGGUUUAAUUCGAUGAUACGCGAGGAACCUUACCCGGGCUUGAAAGUUACUGACGAUUCUGGAAACAGGAUUUCCCUUUGGGGCAGGAAACUAGGUGCUGCAUGGUUGUCGUCAGCUCGUGCCGUGAGGUGUCGGGUUAAGUCCCAUAACGAGCGCAACCCCUACCGUUAGUUGCCAUCAGGUCAAGCUGGGCACUCUGGCGGGACUGCCGGUGUAAGCCGAGAGGAAGGUGGGGAUGACGUCAAAUCAGCACGGCCCUUACGUCCGGGGCUACACA
rnacentral:rRNA from 1 species